rnacentral:rRNA from 1 species
GACGAACGCUGGCGGCGCGCUUAACACAUGCAAGUCGAGCGAGAACCAGGCCUUCGGGCCUGGGGACAGCGGCGAACGGGUGAGUAACACGUGGGUAAUCAACCCUCGGUACUGGGAUAGCCCGGGGAAACCCGGAUUAAUACCGGAUGGCCCUUCGGAUCUUCGGUUCUGAAGGAAAAGGUAGCUUCGGCCUCCGACCGAGGACGAGCCCGCGGCGGAUUAGCUUGUUGGUGGGGUAACGGCCUACCAAGGCGGCGAUCCGUAGCUGGUCUGAGAGGACGAUCAGCCACACUGGGACUGAGACACGGCCCAGACUCCUACGGGAGGCAGCAGUGGGGAAUCUUGCGCUAAUGCGGGAAACCGUGACGCAGCGACGCCGCGUGAGGGAAGAAGGCCUUCGGGUUGUAAACCUCUUUCAGGAGGGACGAAGCUACUCGGGUUAAUAGCCCAGAGGGUGACGGUACCUCCAGAAGAAGCCCCGGCUAACUACGUGCCAGCCGCCGCAGUAAUAC